AUUGAACGCUGGCGGCAUGCUUUUCACAUGCAAGUCGAACGGCAGCGGGGAGGAGCUUGCUUCUCUGCCGGCGAGUGGCGAACGGGUGAGUAAUACAUCGGAACGUGUCGAGAAGAGGGGGAUAACCACCCGAAAGGGUGGCUAAUACCGCAUAAAUUCUGAGGAAGAAAGCUGGGGACCUGGGAAUAGGCCUAGCGCUUUUUGAGCGGCCGAUGUCGGAGUAGCUAGUUGGUGAGGUAAAGGCUCGCCAAGGCGAAGAUCUGUAGCGGGUCUGAGAGGAGGAUCCGCCACACUGGGACUGAGACACGGCCCAGACUCCUACGGGAGGCAGCAGUGGGGAAUUUUGGACAAUGGGGGCAACCCUGAUCCAGCCAUGCCGCGUGUAUGAAGAAGGCCUUAGGGUUGUAAAGUACUUUUGUUAGGGAAGAAAAGUCAGCUGUGAAUAAGGGCUGAUACUGACGGUACCUAAAGAAUAAGCACCGGCUAACUACGUG
rnacentral:rRNA from 1 species